rnacentral:misc_RNA from 1 species
GAUGAAGAACGUAGCGUAAUGCGAUACUUGGUGUGAAUUGCAGAAUCCCGUGAACCAUCGAGUCUUUGAACGCAAGUUGCGCCCGAAGCCAUUAGGCCGAGGGCACGCCUGCCUGGGCGUCACACGUCGUUGCCCCCCCCAUCUACUCCUUCGGGAUUGCGGGGGGCGGAUGAUGGCCUCCCGUGCGCCUCGCCGCGCGGUUGGCAUAAAUGCCAAGUCCUCGGCGACGCACGCCACGACAAUCGGUGGUUGCGAAACCUCGGUUGCCCGUCGUGUGCGGUCGUCGCGCAUCGAGGGCUCGAAAAAAUUGCCGAGUUCCGGCUCGGCUUUCAACGCGACCCCAGGUCAGGCGGGGUUACCCGCUGAAUUUAAGCAUAUCAAUAAGCGGAGGA